UUUCUCUUUCUCAUAAUCUUCACCAGUUUUGCCUUCAUCAGUAGUCUCUUCAAAAUUAGUGGUCUCAGAUGAGUAGGCAGCUCCUUUUCCAUAGGUAUCUCCUUCACCAUAAUUAGUUUUCUCUCCAUAGGUAGUUUCAGAUGGAACAUCUCCAUAGCCACUCUUGUUUUCAUAGCCACUCUCUCCAUAACUAGUCUUAUUUUCAUAGCCACUAUCUCCAUAGCCACUCUUGUUUUCAUAGCCACUAUCUCCAUAGCCACUCUUGUUUUCAUAGCCACUAUCUCCAUAACCAGUCUUAUUUUCAUAGCCACUAUCUCCAUCGCUAGUCUUAUUUUCAUAGCCACUAUCUCCAUAGUUACCUCCCUCACCAUAACUAGUUUUCUCUACAUAUCCACUUUCUCCAUAGUCAGUUUUCUCACCAUAUUUGUUAUCCCCAUAGUUAUCUCCCCCACCAUAACUAGUUUUCUCACCAUAUGUAUUCUCUCCGUAGGUAGUUUUUUCAGUAUCACCACCAUAUGGAGUUUCUCCAUAGGUAGUUUUGUCUUCCUCCUUGUCCUUGUGGUGGAAGAGACCGAAGUGGUGCUUCUUCUCUUCAGCCAUUUUGGUGAUAAAUGUGAUGGUUGACGAGUUUUGAAAAAAGUAGUAGUACGUACAAUAUACUUGGGUGCUGUUGGGAUGUUUUCUCUUGUUAAUAUUGAGUGGUAUUUAUAACUACUGUUGGUUAUAACUAGCUAGCCUAUGAGUUUGGAACUUGAGUUAGUUGAUGUGAGGACGACUAAUUUGUUUGUCCAGUGACCGUGUGUACGAGUUUUAUCCAAUGUUCGCACCUCUUUAAUUUGCAUGAAGGAAGUUUGUUACGUAGAUUUUUCAAUCCAUGUGGCGAAAAUCGACGAAUGCUUAAUUGUUAUGCCGACAUGAUACAUGACUCGCAUGCAUAUUCAUUUAUUGAGUUUUAGUGAGACAAACUUUAUUUCCGUCAUUAACUGCUUUAACUACGUAUGAUAUAUACGAUACGAAUAAUUAUAAACCUCUUUGCUGCGCAUUUUUUCUAGCUAACAUUAAGAAUUAGAUCAGACACUAUCAUGCAACAAAGAAAAGGAAGUGGCGAUAGAAACAACAAAAAAAGAUAAUGACAAUUGAGGAAUGGGUAACGAGUUUAUGUAUACCACCCACGUAACCUUCAAAACUCAAAUAUCGUGGGAGGAUUUAUGUUUAGUCUUUAGAAUACAAUUAAACUUCUAAAAUCGUCCAAAAAGGGAAAAGAAGGGGAAAAAGACUAAACAAAUUACCAUUUUCCUAUGUUUUGAAUUAAGUAUCAUAUGUAUAUAAGUUUUUUUCGGAAAUAUAGGGUUUAGUCCUAAUCCUAUAUGUCUGUGCCUUUGGCCUCAAAAUACUCUAGUCAGCCUCAACUUUUGUGUGUGUCGAUUGUCAAAACUAUACCUAUCUCAAUUCUUAGUUUACCCAAUGAACUGAGGCCCCAUGUCAUAUUGUUCAUUCUCCAAAUAUCUGGUUUUAAACGUGACGUGCGAGAGAAUGUGUGUCGAUUAAUUAGAACGUUCCACAUUAGUAAUCGAAUAUUGUCUUGAGUAAUCCUUACAACAUGAUCGUCAAGUUUUUUAGAUGAAUUUAUUAGUCCCAAUAUCCAUCUUCUUAACAAUGUCCUACAUAGUUAGGCUGAAAAUUAACUCAAUGUAGGCUUAAUUAUAAGUAGGCAAGUAGUCCAUAUUCAAAUGGAUGUCACCUUCACGGCUUCUCCAUUGAAGACCGGAAGGUUGAGGAGCUAUCUACAUAUAUACACACUGUCAGGAUUGCAUGCAACCCUAUAUACUUAAUUAUGUGAAAAUCUAAAUAUGCUUAAUUAUGUGAAAAUGUACAUAUUUUAAUUUCCCAACCUUCUUCUUUAAGAUAUAUAAAUUCAUACGGUGAUUAAAAGAUAUUUGAAACAUCGUAUAUUAGCUUUCAGAAAUAUGGAGUCUUUGGUUCAAAAAUACACGUGUGUUCCGAGCAUUUGCUAUACACUUGACCAAUAGCGAGGUUACUACUCACUCCGUUAUGUAAUCUAUUUCCUUUUUGGUCCGUUAAAAAAAAAAAGACCUUUUUCUAAAUUUGGAAACAAUUUUGGUAAACUUAAAAUUCUACCCUUAAUGAGAAGCUUUUAUAACCACACAAAUACUCUGGACCCUUUUUUUGACUUGUUUAGGACCACAAUUUGCAAAAGUCUUCAUUUUUUCUUAAACUCCGUGCUCAGUCAAACAGAUUUACAUAAAUUGGAACGGAGGGAGUACAAUUUUUUUGAAUUCAGAUAAUCUUUAUCAAUUGUCAUAUUAACAUGUGACUAUUUUGGUAAAUUUUGCUGAAUUAAUGUUAAUGCAUGACUAAGUUGAAAUUAAAUACAACCAUUAAUUAAACUGGUCUAUGCUUACAAGUUUGAACAACAUGACCCUUAACCUAAGCUUUAAUGGGUAUAAUUAUUAAUGAUUGAUACUUUUAUUAGUGGAAGAAUGCGAGUGCAAUAGUUAAGAUGCACAGCACUGUAUGUUAUCAAGAAAGAAAAUUGAGCAACAUAACUUUUUCCUUUCUAAAAAUUUGUAAACUUCCACGAGUGCCACGUUAUAUGUAGAUUUAUGACCCCAUUAGAAGCACAAAAUAAAAAUAUAUAUACUAUCUCAUUAAAAGCAGAAAAUAAAAGGAACAAAAAAAUCAAAAUCAUCAAUAGCAAUUUAUUUCAUUAUCCAUUCUAAUGGAAUUAAAAACAUCGCUAGCUAAUUAACUUUAUUGGCUUCGAUACAAUACACUGAAAACUAUUACGAUCUCCAAAAUAAAAAAAAGAAGUAAAAGUUGGAAAUCACAAAUGGAGAUCUUGAGUAUCUUUGAACCGAAAUCCCAACUCAUCUUCCACAUGAAUUGCUUGAUAGUAAUCUUUUUCAUAACUAUACGAUAUUAAAGUAUGGAUAGCAAUAAAAAGGGUCGGCAUUGCCAUUAUGAUUAGGACCCAUAUUUUGGCAUCUGUUGAAUUUUGAGGAGUGUCGGCAAACUUUUUAGGUAUAUUCAGUCGAACAGUUUCUUUGCUUGCCUUUUAUUUGUUGGUUUAUUGUCUUUGUCCUUCCAACUGCCAUUCUAAUAUCUGAAAACGGAAAAGAGAGGAAAUGGUAUUCUUUUUUUUAUCCCAUCAAAAUGAUCAUUAGUGUUUGCACUUAUUUUUUCACUUACUCGAACCUUUAACCUAUUGGUCAAUGAUGGAGGUGCUCAAAUAUUAAAGCAACUCUCACUUGUCUAAAUUAUUUAUCAUUUUUUUAAUACUUUUUCUAAGGAUCUUAUAUUCGGACUACUAAUUCGAUUAAUUUAAAUUUAUAUUAGUUGAUCCACGAAAGAAGUGAAGCGUUUCUUAAUAAGAGCAUCUAUAUUCUUAAGGUUUGAUUAAAAUUAAUAUGACUGGCUGAUUUGAGAACCUACUAAGUUAGAGUAACAACAAAAGAAUUUAUAGUGGAAAAAGAAGAUUUUCAUGAUGGAAAAAAAGAAGAAUAUUUUCAUGACCUUAUAGGAAACAUGUUCUAUUUUUAACUGUUAAGAUAAAGUUAUACUGAAACAAGAUUGUUUUUUUAUAAAUCGAUUUUCCAAAUUAAGAGACAAGCAUCGAACUAUCGAAGUAAUAUUUGAUCAAGAAAAUGUUUGCUAAAAGUAUGUUUCACAUCUCACCAAAUUGACCCUUCUGUAUCUCACUCUCUUCCUCGACUCUUGUUAUUUAGUGAUUUUUUUAAUACUUGCAUUUUCCAAAUUAGACAUUUUAAAAAAAAAUCUUCUUUACAUCAGUGGUUUAUAACGAGCCGACCAAAAUAGCUGGAGGGACAAAAGAGGAAGCCACCUCAUUUCUGUGGGAUUUAAGUUAUAUAUAUACUUAGUAUAAUUUAACGUACUACCUUAUUACUGCAAUUUAUAUUAGGUGACUAAUAAAUACUAUUAUUAAAUAAAAUUGCAUGCAAUUACUGACCUGAUUUUUAAGUAAUUUUUACACAAUUAGUGUAUACAGUAAUUGAACUUAAACUCAUUUAUGUUUACUAGAGUUGGUUCUUGUUUAAUUUGGAGCCACUUUUAGGAGCUUAAAGGAAACAAAAACAAGGAUUUAAAUAUAUAGCGUGUACAAAAUAAUGUCAAGAAUAAAAUACAUAUACUAAGACUGGUGAUUUUCAUCGUUCAUGCAUAAAAGUUGUUGUUUAAUGCAGGGUCCGAGUUAGAAGUCUGGCUACAUUUGGCAAAACUCCGUAUCUUUUGCUCAAGCAGUGUAUUUGAGUUAAAAUUUUCGCUAAGUAUAUAUAAAUAUUAAAUUUAGAACCCAAUUAUUAAUAUUUAAAAUCGUCGUUUUAAAAUCCAGAACCUAUAAAAUUGAAAUUUUGACUCCGCCUCUGAUUUAACGUUGGAAACUAUUUUCUUGUGUCCUUUUUUUAUUCUUCCAUUCAUUGUUUAUCUUCUUCUUAGUAGGUUUGUAUAAAUUAGCAUUAUAAUUAGGGACGGAUAACUGAACCCUCAGAUCGAGGGAUGAAAAUUUCUGCCCUCUUAGUUAUCCUAAAUCCUAAUUAGCACUACUACUAUUUCCACCAACCCUCUGGACUUCCACUCUUUCUUACAAUUUAUUAAAAUUAUAGGACUACAGUAUGCGUAUGUGUAAAUAGUUACGGUAAAGAUAUUUUAAAAUAUAUAGAGUAAUACAUUCACAGCUCUAAAAUUUUGGAUUAUUAUAUAUGUAUUUAAGGUAAAAAUUUAGGUCGAUUUUCAAAUUUAGGUGAAGUUCAAUGAAAAUUUUAAGAAGAUAAACCUCUUUGAUCAAGUCGCAAAGUCCACAUGCAUAUGUGAUGUUCGGAGAAAGUGAUAGAUACCUGAUAUUUACAGUUUUUAUUUUCUUUUUCUUUUUGUGAGGGUGUAACUUAGGUAUUAAAAA
rnacentral:lncRNA from 1 species